UUCAUUUUCCACAAAUUUAAAUGUUAGCGCGUCUCACGGCAGGAUCCCAGAACCGAGAACCCACUUCGACUGGGUUAUAAUGAAAGCGUUUCCAAAUGCGAAACGAAUGCCAGAGCAGCUACUGUGGCGAGUGUGUCCCAGGAUGUGGAUUGUGGAUGUGGAUGCGGCUGCUGGAAUCUGUAUUUUGUAUGUUGCUGUGUCGCUGUGGUGUGGCCAUAUAGAUCUGCAUGUGGUCGCCUUUAGAGGCACGUGUGGUUUUCCAGUUAACCGCUGCCGUUGGGUUUGGCCUGCUGCUGCUUAUGGCAUUAACCUAAACUGUUUCCACCUUCCACCAAAAGGACGACAUCCACGCAGUUUGACUUCGGUUCAGACUCCGUCUCCGACUUCGACUCCGACUCCCAUCCAGAGACGACGCACAAAUCCGACCUGAAGGAGGCGGCCCGCUGUGUGCGCCGCGCCGUCACCCGCUGCUUUUGUUGGCCGCACAUUGGCUUAGGAUCUGCGGAUCGUCGAUUUCAGUCGAUCGGCAAGACUCUAUUGCACUCCAGGCCAGGCCAGGCCAGGGGGCGUACCAGUCACUGCCCACCCACUGCACCCAAUGCACCCACUCGCUGCUAAAAGGCCGCUCUCGCAAGACUCUCCCGUUCCGACUUAUCAAUUGCGGCCAUCUUCCCGGUGACCAGGGAACAGGGACUGAUUCAACACUUCGGUAGCCCAAUCAUCAUUUCCGUCUUCGGGAAGGUGACAACUUUUGUUGGUUGGUUGGGUUUUUUCCUCCGCUUAAAUGCAGAUACACAUGCAGAUUUCUCAGCUGAUUCAUCAACAACAGUUUCCACAUCAAAACUGAGUCGCCUCACACGCCUUGAGUCAUCCAAAUUUCUUUCUAAGCCUUGGAAAGGCAUAAAUCUCACUAAAUCUACGAGAUAUUUGGCAACAGGUUCCAGCCUCCUCCUCCGAGUGAUCCGAACUUCAAGGUGCGCUGAGCCGCAGAAGCAGCCGCAGGUUGAGACACGCUCUGGGACCCGCUAAGCGGCAAUGUCUAACUCAUUAGAUGUCAUUUGAUGAUAAACUCGUGGUGUACCCUUUAAAAGGUGGGGCAUAGCGAAUAUGAAAAGAAGUAAAAGGAGUCUGUAUGGAGAAUGUUUAAUGCAGGUCGGCCCCUCCAGUAGCUAGGAAUUCCUUGAGUCUCACGCUGCUUUCUUCCGCCGUAGCUCCACGUCCCCUCGAGAGGUCGGAGAGAUGACUCCUGGCUGGAUUGUGGCAGCCACUGGCUAUCCUUUUGCGAGCCAUAGCCGUAAUGCCAUUGCUGUGUAGCUGACUCGACAAUGUGGCGUCCCGUCUGCUGCAUCAGGGACCAGUGAUCGACGGCGGAAUUGUUGGCCCACGGGAAUCAAACGCUGGGCUUCAGCUUCAAGACGCGGGACUUAAGUACCACCGCCAGACGGAGUCCUAUCCAAUCAUUAUCGAAGCAUAUUCGGGACAGACCGAGUCCUAUCCCAGCCAGACAGAAUCGUCUCAUAGCAGGACAGAAACGCACCCCUCGCAAAAUCCGUACCCAACAACCACCAUGAUCCUUCGUUCUGGCCAUCGAAACAAGGACUUUGACUAUGGCAACCAUUGGAGCGACUACGCGGGUUACUAGAUAGAUUUUGUUAGGUUAGGAUAUACGCGUCCAUAUAUUUAGAUAGUCGAUACAAAUGUUUUCCACUUUUUUAUAUAUUUAUACUAAGCUAAGUUA